UGUUUGUGUGUAGCGUUAGUGAAUUGUUUGUGUGUUGUUAUGAGACGUUGUCGCGGGGUAAGAGGUCAAAGGCUAGAGG